GGACCCGCACAAGCGGUGGAGUAUGUGGCUUAAUUCGAUGCAACGCGAAGAACCUUACCUAGGCUUGACAUGCUUGUCGUACUCUCCCGAAAAGGAGAGGUCACUUCGGGCGGACAAUGCACAGGUGCUGCAUGGCCGUCGUCAGCUCGUGUCGUGAGAUGUUUGGUUAAGUCCAGCAACGAGCGCAACCCCUGUGAACUGUUGCCAGCGCGUAAAGGCGGGGACUCUGUUCAGACUGCCCAGAUCAACUGGGAGGAAGGUGGGGACGACGUCAGGUCAGUAUGGCCCUUACGCCUAGGGCUGCACACGUCCUACAAUGGUACGGACAAACGGACGCGAAACCGCGAGGUGGAGCAAAUCCUAAAAACCGUGCCUCAGUUCGGAUUGCAGGCUGCAACUCGCCUGCAUGAAGCCGGAAUCGCUAGUAA
rnacentral:rRNA from 1 species